AGUUAGGUAGGCCAUUAAAUUGAGCUAGUAGGGUUAUAUCCUACAUAGGGUUGCUUCCUCUUUCUA
rnacentral:tRNA from 1 species